UCCUUAGCUCAAUUGGUUAGAGCUGCGGUCUCAUACUCCGUAGGUUGGGGGUUCGAGUCCCUCAGGAUCC
rnacentral:tRNA from 1 species